rnacentral:rRNA from 2 species
UGCAGUCGAGCGGACAGAUGGGAGCUUGCUCCCUGAUGUCAGCGGCGGACGGGUGAGUAACACGUGGGUAACCUGCCUGUAAGACUGGGAUAACUCCGGGAAACCGGGGCUAAUACCGGAUGCUUGAUUGAACCGCAUGGUUCAAUUAUAAAAGGUGGCUUUUAGCUACCACUUACAGAUGGACCCGCGGCGCAUUAGCUAGUUGGUGAGGUAACGGCUCACCAAGGCAACGAUGCGUAGCCGACCUGAGAGGGUGAUCGGCCACACUGGGACUGAGACACGGCCCAGACUCCUACGGGAGGCAGCAGUAGGGAAUCUUCCGCAAUGGACGAAAGUCUGACGGAGCAACGCCGCGUGAGUGAUGAAGGUUUUCGGAUCGUAAAACUCUGUUGUUAGGGAAGAACAAGUACCGUUCGAAUAGGGCGGUACCUUGACGGUACCUAACCAGAAAGCCACGGCUAACUACGUGCCAGCAGCCGCGGUAAUACGUAGGUGGCAAGCGUUGUCCGGAAUUAUUGGGCGUAAAGCGCGCGCAGGCGGUUUCUUAAGUCUGAUGUGAAAGCCCCCGGCUCAACCGGGGAGGGUCAUUGGAAACUGGGGAACUUGAGUGCAGAAGAGGAGAGUGGAAUUCCACGUGUAGCGGUGAAAUGCGUAGAGAUGUGGAGGAACACCAGUGGCGAAGGCGACUCUCUGGUCUGUAACUGACGCUGAGGCGCGAAAGCGUGGGGAGCGAACAGGAUUAGAUACCCUGGUAGUCCACGCCGUAAACGAUGAGUGCUAAGUGUUAGAGGGUUUCCGCCCUUUAGUGCUGCAGCAAACGCAUUAAGCACUCCGCCUGGGGAGUACGGUCGCAAGACUGAAACUCAAAGGAAUUGACGGGGGCCCGCACAAGCGGUGGAGCAUGUGGUUUAAUUCGAAGCAACGCGAAGAACCUUACCAGGUCUUGACAUCCUCUGACAACCCUAGAGAUAGGGCUUCCCCUUCGGGGGCAGAGUGACAGGUGGUGCAUGGUUGUCGUCAGCUCGUGUCGUGAGAUGUUGGGUUAAGUCCCGCAACGAGCGCAACCCUUGAUCUUAGUUGCCAGCAUUCAGUUGGGCACUCUAAGGUGACUGCCGGUGACAAACCGGAGGAAGGUGGGGAUGACGUCAAAUCAUCAUGCCCCUUAUGACCUGGGCUACACACGUGCUACAAUGGGCAGAACAAAGGGCAGCGAAGCCGCGAGGCUAAGCCAAUCCCACAAAUCUGUUCUCAGUUCGGAUCGCAGUCUGCAACUCGACUGCGUGAAGCUGGAAUCGCUAGUAAUCGCGGAUCAGCAU